GAUGAAGAACGCAGCGAAAUGCGAUAAGUAAUGUGAAUUGCAGAAUUCAGUGAAUCAUCGAAUCUUUGAACGCACAUUGCGCCCGCCAGCAUUCUGGCGGGCAUGCCUGUUCGAGCGUCAUUUCAACCCUCGAGCCCCCCCGGGGGCCUCGGUGUUGGGGGACGGCACACCAGCCGCCCCCGAAAUGCAGUAGCGACCCCGCCGCAGCCUCCCCUGCGUAGUAGCACACACCUCGCACCGGAGCGCGGAGGCGGUCACGCCGUAAAACGCCCAACUUUCUUAGAGUUGACCUCGGAUCAGGUAGGAAUACCCGCUGAACUUAAGCAUAUCAAUAAGCGGAGGA
rnacentral:misc_RNA from 1 species